GUGGCGAGCUUUCCAUGCAAGUCGAACGGCAGCACGGACUUCGGUCUGGUGGCGAGUGGCGAACGGGUGAGUAAUACAUCGGAACGUGCCCAAUCGUGGGGGAUAACGUAGCGAAAGCUACGCUAAUACCGCAUACGAUCUAAGGAUGAAAGCGGGGGAUCGCAAGACCUCGCGCGAAUGGAGCGGCCGAUGGCAGAUUAGGUAGUUGGUAGGGUAAAGGCCUACCAAGCCGACGAUCUGUAGCUGGUCUGAGAGGAUGAUCAGCCACACUGGGACUGAGACACGGCCCAGACUCCUACGGGAGGCAGCAGUGGGGAAUUUUGGACAAUGGACGCAAGUCUGAUCCAGCCAUUCCGCGUGCAGGAUGAAGGCCCUCGGGUUGUAAACUGCUUUUGUACAGAACGAAAAGGCUCUGGUUAAUACCUGGGGCUCAUGACGGUACUGUAAGAAUAAGCACCGGCUAACUACGUGCCAGCAGCCGCGGUAAUACGUAGGGUGCAAGCGUUAAUCGGAAUUACUGGGCGUAAAGCGUGCGCAGGCGGUGAUGUAAGACAGAGGUGAAAUCCCCGGGCUCAACCUGGGAACUGCCUUUGUGACUGCAUCGCUGGAGUACGGCAGAGGGGGAUGGAAUUCCGCGUGUAGCAGUGAAAUGCGUAGAUAUGCGGAGGAACACCGAUGGCGAAGGCAAUCCCCUGGGCCUGUACUGACGCUCAUGCACGAAAGCGUGGGGGAGCAAACAGGAUUAGAUACCCUGGUAGUCCACCGCCCUAAACGAUGUCACUGGUUGUUGGGUCUUC
rnacentral:rRNA from 1 species